UACCAGCACCCCGAGUGGUCGGGACGUUUAUUGGGCCUAAAGCAUCCGUAGCCGGUUCUGCAAGUCCUCCGUUAAAUCCAACUGCUUAACAGAUGGGCCGCGGAGGAUACUACAGAGCUAGGAGGCAGGAGAGGCAAGCGGUACUCAGUGGGUAGGGGUAAAAUCCGUUGAUCCAUUGAAGACCACCAGUGGCGAAGGCGGCUUGCCAGAAUGCGCUCGACGGUGAGGGAUGAAAGCUGGGGGAGCAAACCGG
rnacentral:rRNA from 1 species